GGGAAACUGCCUGAUGGAGGGGGAUAACUACUGGAAACGGUAGCUAAUACCGCAUAACGUCGCAAGACCAAAGAGGGGGACCUUCGGGCCUCUUGCCAUCAGAUGUGCCCAGAUGGGAUUAGCUAGUAGGUGGGGUAACGGCUCACCUAGGCGACGAUCCCUAGCUGGUCUGAGAGGAUGACCAGCCACACUGGAACUGAGACACGGUCCAGACUCCUACGGGAGGCAGCAGUGGGGAAUAUUGCACAAUGGGCGCAAGCCUGAUGCAGCCAUGCCGCGUGUAUGAAGAAGGCCUUCGGGUUGUAAAGUACUUUCAGCGGGGAGGAAGGUGCUGAGGUUAAUAACCUCAGCAAUCGACGUUACCCGCAGAAGAAGCACCGGCUAACUCCGUGCCAGCAGCCGCGGUAAUACGGAGGGUGCAAGCGUUAAUCGGAAUUACUGGGCGCAAAGCGCACGCAGGCGGUCUGUCAAGUCGGAUGUGAAAUCCCCGGGCUCAACCUGGGAACUGCAUUCGAAACUGGCAGGCUAGAGUCUUGUAGAGGGGGGUAGAAUUCCAGGU
rnacentral:rRNA from 1 species